rnacentral:rRNA from 1 species
UAUUUCAAAGGGGUUAUUAAGGAAAACUACUGCAAAUUUAUAGAAAUGGAGGUAUAAUACCAAAAGCUUCAAGAACGAAUAGCGGGCAGGCUAUGCCAGGCCGGAUAAUUCGUUCCCAAUAUGAAAACGAUAAGCGAUCCUAAGGUAAACCUUGUUUAAUUAAUUACUUCCUGAAGUAAAACAUUUUAUUAGGGAAAGGAAAGGAAAUCAACCGAGACUCCGAAAGUAAUGGUGAGUGAAAUCGGACUAGCCUAUUAUCGAAUUCGAAAUUGAAUAACUAAUCGAAUCGAAAGGCCUCUAAGCCAUUGGCCCAGCGUCAGCAGGGCCCAAUGGGCACUAGCGGGUGCUCGAUACGAGAAGUUAGCCUAAAUCGAACGUUAGUCUUGCUACUGGGAUUGCUUGCGUUACCUGCUCUGCGUAGCAAAGCAUGACAGCAACAGCCAAUGGUUAAGUACGCGGCGCUCGAUAUUGGUUCUAAAGAAGGUCAAAGACUAUAAGUCCUGUAGAUUUCGAAUAGAAUUCUAAAGAAUAAGUGAAGGGCACAAAAGCCCACGGAUAAUUCGUUCUCCGAUAACUUCAUUCCAAUAAAGUACGAUGAGAGACAACUUGUCGGAAUAUAGGGGAACCAUCCUCUAAGGCUAAGUAUUAUAAAUUUAGCGAUAGUGAAAAAGUACUGUAAAGGAAAAGUAUGAAAAGCGAGUGGUAUACAAAAAAGUGAUUUAAUCGCGAUCUCUCGUCCGGUGCAAAGCAGCGACUUGACUCUCGAUUAAUGAAUCGGUGAAAUAGAUCAUGAAUUAGUAACUCUAUAAGCAGUCGGAAUUCUACUUUAAAGCAUAAAAGAAUCAUGAAUGACGGCGUACCUUUUGCAUAAUGGGUCAGCAAGUUAAUAGGAGUAGCAAGGUUAAAAGCCUUAGCGAAAGCGACUGGACUUGUAUUGGGAUGGUGGAUUAGGCCAGCUUUUCCUUUCGGAGCAGCUGGUUACGCCUUUGCUCCUGCGUAGCAGGUAACGCAAGCAAUCCCAAAAGUGAUGGAUAAGUUACUUCUAUUAGACCCGAAGCCAGGUGAUCUUACCAAGACCAGAUUAUAAUGGAUCGAACGGGUGAAUGUUGCAUAAUUCUCCGAUGAGUUUUGGUAAGCGGUGAAAUGCCAAUCUGACCUGGUGCUAGCUGGUUUUCUACCGAAACAUAUUUAAGUAUGACGUCUACACAAAAUUUAUGGAGGUACAGCAAGGCAAUUCCCAACAAGUUUACGGUAUGGGCCUAGCUUUUUUCAAUAAUAGGGAAGCAAGGACCAUUCCUUUAAUGCGUUUAGGUUGCGGGGACCUCGAAAAUCUUACCUAUGGAAGCGAAUCUCGGAAUUACAUAAAUUGAUGGUAGAUAUUCAGACUACUCAUGCUAAGUUGGGUAGUCAAGACGGAAACAGCCGAGAACACAGAUCAAGGUCCCAAAUGAUUGUUAAGUGAAAUUAAGGAUGUAGCAAUAUCGUAUACAGCUGUGAAGUGAGCCUGGUAGUCGCUACUUUUAAUGAUCGUAUGUAACAACGCAUCAGCAGUCUAGAUAGUAGCACCGAAAAUUUAACGGGUCUUAAACAAUCAACCGAUAUCGUGUUGGUUAAGAAUAAUAACAUGUGUUGCUACGCAAGUCUUGCGUACGCAGCGGCUAGCUGUUGUAGUAGCAUAUGCAACAACAAUCGCAAGUAGGUGUUGGUACGCUACGAAAUCUAAGCUAGGGCAUUAUUCUUAAUCUAGGUAGUAGAACAUUCAGUCAAACCGAUUAUUUAACAGUGUUUCAUUGUUCGAUAGGUUACUGAAGAGAGAAUGCUGACAUGAGUAACGUAAAAAGAAGUUAUAAUACUUCUCGCCGAAUACGAAAGGGUUGCAAAUUGGAAAGGUUAAUCCGUUUUGUGUUAAUGCGGCCUCUAAGGACCAAAACCAAAGUUUUGGCUGAUGAGUAUCGAAUAGAAAGUCCCGUUAAUAAAAACAGGACCAGGAAAUUAAUAUUCGGUCGAUGCUUCGCUCCUGCUACGCAAUUACCUGCUACGCUAGAGCCGUGAGAUUGCUACGCAAGAGUUUUUACGCCUUUAGGCUUACGCCUGGUUUAGUUUCGGCUAACCCUUAUUUCUGCUGCUAAAGCACAUGCACAAGUAGCAGAAGGUGUGCCUAAGAUCGUCUUAAAUUCUUGCUAAAGCCUUCGCUAGAAGAUCGACGUACUACCGUACCCUAAACCGACACAGGUUCGUAGGUAGAGAAUACUAAGGCGUAGAGCUAAAAGUUGUUAAGGAACUCGGCAAGUUAACCUCAUAAGUUAGACGAAAAGAGGGACCGCAUCGAUCGAAGCGGGCGGCCUGUCUAACGAAGUAAGUAACGCAAGCAAGGAGUUGCUUUGCUACACCUAUAUUGCGUAGCUAGGCCUGGUUAGCAAAAGAUCGAAGGCGGUGGCACAGAAUCGGAGGCCCCGACUGUUUACUAAAAACACAACACAGUGCAAUCAUUAAUAUGAUAGUAUACUGUGUGAAAUUUGCCCGAUGCCAUUAAUAUAAGAGCGGUCAUGGGGAACUGUGACUAAUCGAAAAUCUGGUUAAUAGCGGUCUUAACUAUGAGGAUCCUAAGGUAGCAAAAUCAAUUGGCCGUUAAAUGCGGUCCGGUAUCAAUAAUGUAACGAUGGCCUCACUGUCUCUACAACUUGCUCAGUGAAAUUGAAUUACGCGUGCAGAUGCGCGUUGCCUCCAGGGGGACGGGAAGACCCUAUGCAGCUUUACUGUAGUUAGUUAUCACAUGGAUCUAGAACAAUCUUAGUUAAUAGUGAAUAGGGAUGUCGAUAGACGUGACACGCGUUGCUUAGCUUCGCGGCGUCGAGUGGAAACCUUAUAAUUAAGAUUGGGUCUAUGUUUACCUUAUAAUUAAAAACCAAAGGGAGAGUUGACUAAUUGGCAGUUUGACUGGGGCGGUCGUCUUUAAUAGAGUAGCAAAGUACAUCCAAAUAUUUUAUCCAAAAACAAUAUUACGAACAGAUAACCUAUCUUCUCGUGCUGUUGUUGUUGCGUAGCUACUACAGGUGUUGCGUAGCAGGCAAUAGUAGUAAUUACAACUACUGCUUAGCAAUACCAAGUAAUAUGUAGUGCGUAGCAAUGCGUAGCUUUAGCGGUAGCUAGAGAGAGGAAAAGUAAUAAUUAAUCGGCCUGGCUUAUUAAUUCUUAAAGAACUCAGGUUUUUAUGGCUAAAAUAAAAAACCUUAAACACACUCGAAAUUAAAAAAGGUAUAGCUAGAAAUUGAAUGGAGAUCAAUCAACCAGUGAAGGGUUGCGCAGAGCUCAAUGGCGGUAAGCAUGCUUAACUGAAAGACCUAAAAGUCGCACAGAUACGUAAGUAGGGCAUAGUGACCCCUCGCUAUAGUAUGGGAUAGACGGGGAUCAAUUAAUAAAAGUUACGCUAGGGAUAACAGGCUGAUAGCCGACGAGAGUACACAUUGUCUCGGCUGAUUGGCACCUCGAUGUCGACUCAUCCUAUCCUCCGGGGGAAGAAGCUUGGAAGGGUUCGGCUGUUCGCCGAUUAAAAGGGUACGUGAGUUGGGUUUAAUACGACGUGAGUCAGUAUGGUCCCUAUCUUCUGGAGGAACAAUUAGUAAAAAGGGGCAGACCUUCUAGUACGAAAGGAUCAAUAGGCUGUGUUUCUCUAGUGUACCAAUUGUUUAUACUUUUUUUAAUCAAACGCUCUCCCAAUGGGAGGCGGAUGAUGAAUCUUUUGCUCGUGCUAUCAUAUGCCAGCAAGCAGCACAUCUUUACCUCCACGCUUGCUACUGGUGCUGAAUGCUCCAAAAGUAGCGGGAGGGCUAACGCAGAGGUGGGCGACACGAAUUGCGAAGCUAGGACUAUCGGCUUAGCAUUGCGGAGCAAAGAGCUCGAUAUUCGUAGGACAAAAUUGGAACGCAUAGUUGGGUAGCCA